UGAGGAAUAUUGGUCAAUGGGCGCGAGCCUGAACCAGCCAAGUCGCGUGAGGGAAGACGGCCCUACGGGUUGUAAACCUCUUUUGUCGGGGAGCAAGGACUGCCACGUGUGGCAGGGCGAGAGUACCCGAAGAAAAAGCAUCGGCUAACUCCGUGCCAGCAGCCGCGGUAAUACGGAGGAUGCGAGCGUUAUCCGGAUUUAUUGGGUUUAAAGGGAGCGUAGGCCGGAGAUUAAGCGUGUUGUGAAAUGUAGGAGCUCAACUUCUGCACUGCAGCGCGAACUGGUUUCCUUGAGUACGUAGGAAGUUGGCGGAAUUCGUGGUGUAGCGGUGAAAUGCUUAGAUAUCACGAAGAACUCCGAUUGCGAAGGCAGCUGACUGUAUCGUAACUGACGCUGAAGCUCGAAAGUGUGGGUAUCGAACAGGAUUAGAUACC
rnacentral:rRNA from 1 species